UAGAUAUUGAGCUUCCCGACGGAAAGGCUUCCGCGUACAGCUAAAUCUUGCCUCCGCCGAUCCUACGAUUGGACGCCGGAGAAGUUAUUGAUAGCCGAGUGCGAUCCGCCGAUCACAGUUAAGGGAAGGGCCCUUAACAGAAGCCAACUUGUUUAAAUUAAUCUAAAGUAUUAACACAAUUGUUGAAGCCAGCUAAUAUUCGUCCCCAUUAUUAGGUAUGCUUUUUUGUGUGGUAUUGGUGUCAUCAUAACAUUUAUCAACAAUAAAUAUUUUUAUAUACUCCACUAAUUAGUCCCAAAUAAAGCACUAGUGAAUUUGAGCACCUGUAGUUCAAAAUCACUUCAAACUCUGAAAUCGUAUUUGAAACCAGCAAAGAUAAGAAGAAAGGUUCACAAAAAGCCCCGUAACAUCGGCUAUGGAGAAGGAGAGUAUGAGCGAGCAGGACGAGACAGAGGCUGACGUGGUGCCGGAGGCAAGAGUAACGGAGCACGGUAGAGGAACUGGAGACGCUACGAACACAAGGGUGUUGAGGCCGCGAGAAAAGCUGAAGCAGCCGAGCAAAUUCAAGAGCUGAAGAGAGUCAGACGCUGCUGUUAGAAUUUGCUCUAUUUUUUUUUAUUAUUUUUGCUUUGAUUUUAUUUUGAACUCUUAUUUAAAUUAUUGUUGAGUCGGGCCGAAACUAUAAGCCCCAUUUGGGUUUUCUUUACGGUUCUUUCCCGAAUGCCUAAGUUAGGUCGAACCGUCCUAGGGUCCUUAGUCUAUAAAUAGGGUAUUUCGUUCAAUAACUUUUUCUCCAUGAAUGAAAUAUUUUACCUAUAA